rnacentral:rRNA from 1 species
CAGCAGCCGCGGUAAUACGAAGGGUGCAAGCGUUACUCGGAAUUACUGGGCGUAAAGCGUGCGUAGGUGGUGGUUUAAGUCCGUUGUGAAAGCCCUGGGCUCAACCUGGGAAUUGCAGUGGAUACUGGGUCACUAGAGUGUGGUAGAGGAUAGUGGAAUUUCCGGUGUAGCAGUGAAAUGCGUAGAGAUCUGGAGGAAUACCGGUGGCGAAGGCGGCCCCCUGGACAAAGACUGACGCUCAGGUGCGAAAGCGUGGGGAGCAAACAGGAUUAGAUACCCGCGUAGUCCCUGUCUCUUAUAA